GAUGAACGCUAGCUACAGGCUUAACACAUGCAAGUCGAGGGGAAACGAUGAGAGAGCUUGCUCUCUUAGGCGUCGACCGGCGCACGGGUGAGUAACGCGUAUCCAACCUACCCAUUACAGGGGGAUAACCUUGCGAAAGUAAGACUAAUACCCCAUGGCAUUUUAUGGUGGCAUCAUUAUAGGAUUAAAGAUUUAUUGGUAAUGGAUGGGGAUGCGUCUGAUUAGCUUGUUGGCGGGGUAACGGCCCACCAAGGCAACGAUCAGUAGGGGUUCUGAGAGGAAGGUCCCCCACAUUGGAACUGAGACACGGGCCAAACUCCUACGGGAGGCAGCAGUGAGGAAUAGUGGGCAAUGGGCGAGAGCUUGAACCAGCCAAGUAGCGUGCAGGAUGACGGCCCUAUGGGUUGUAAACUGCUUUUAGAGGGGAAUAAAGUGAGCUACGUGUAGUUUAUUGCAUGUACCCGAUGAAUAAGGACCGGCUAAUUCCGUG
rnacentral:rRNA from 1 species